AGUGGUCAACAUGAAGUCUGAAAGAGGAAAAAAAUACUUAUGUACACUGGCACAUUGCUUUGCAAAGGAUAUUCAUUAAACUCUUCAUCCUGACAAGUUUCAGUAUCAGAGUGACCAUAUGUCAAGGACGGCAUACUGUCAGCAGUCGAGGCAAGGGCAUUUUCUUGCCUAGCAGUUUACUUUUGACAUAAAGAAAGCAAACUCCAUGUGGCAUAGAAUGUCCAUCUGCAAUUCACUUCAACUGCUAAGUGUUGACCACUGGGCAAAACUGCCUUUCAUCUAAACUGAAGAUCACCAGACAGUGGACAGAAUCACUGGAAUUGACAGCCUAGCUGCUCAGGUCAAGUAAAUGGAGACCAUCACAGAAAACCACAAUUGGAUACAAUGCAGGAAUCAACAGAUUGUGGAAAGAUCAGCCUCAAUGGAUACAUCUACAUCACAGCUCCUGCACCUGUGGCUCAGAGAAAA